rnacentral:rRNA from 1 species
AUGGUAGGAUAGAGGCCUACCAUGGUGGUAACGGGUAACGGGGUGUUAGGGCACGACACCGGAGAGGGAGCCUGAGAAACGGCUACCACAUCCAAGGAAGGCAGCAGGCGCGCAAAUUACCCAAUCCCGACACGGGGAGGUAGUGACAAUAAAUAACAAUACAGGGUUCUUUGAAUCUUGUAAUUGGAAUGAGUACAAUUUAAAUCUCUUAACGAGGAACAAUUGGAGGGCAAGUCUGGUGCCAGCAGCCGCGGUAAUUCCAGCUCCAAUAGCGUAUAUUAAAGUUGUUGCAGUUAAAAAGCUCGUAGUUGAAUUUCGGGAUCAAUACGUCGGUCGUGCUUUCGGGUACGUACUGGCGUCAUUGGUUUCUCCUUUCUGACGAACCAUGAUGUCAUUAAUUUGGUGUUAUGGGGAGUUAGGACUGUUACUUUGAAAAAAUUAGAGUGCUUAAAGCAGGCAUUAGCUUGAAUACAGUAGCAUGGAAUAAUGAAAUAGGACGUUCGAUCCUAUUUUGCUGGUUUCUAGGAUCAACGUAAUGAUUAAUAGGGAUAGUUGGGGGCAUUAGUAUUCAAUUGUCAGAGGUGAAAUUCUUGGAUUUAUUGAAGACUAACUACUGCGAAAGCAUUUGCCAAGGAUGUUUUCAUUAAUCAAGAACGAAAGUUAGGGGAUCGAAGACGAUCAGGUACCGUCGUAGUCUUAACCAUAAACUAUGCCGACUAGGGAUCGGAUGAUGUUAAUUUUUUAAUGACUCAUUCGGCGCCUUACGGGAAACCAAAGUG